rnacentral:lncRNA from 10 species
GAAGCAGAAUUCAGGAUCCCUUCUCUUCAUUUGGAGUCUUCUGGAGUUGAACAGCUCUUGAGUAGGGGGCACUUUUUUGCUGUAAUAAAUUUGUCUUUGUGACAAACUGAAGCCACUGGCCUCCAGGUGGAGCUGCAUGAAAGAAAGAGAGAAGUGAAAAGAGGGAAAAAUAGGUUGGUGUUCCAGAGAAGUAGAUAGCCUGAGAAAGACUCAAUAAAACCAAGAUGGUACAUGGUCCUCAGGGGAUUUUCUAGGAAAAGAAGUGACAUGCAAACUGAUUCAGCCAGUUUAAUUCCACAAGAAUUUGAAGAGACUGCCAAUGUGCUCAGCCAGCCCCAGUGUCUGAUGCAAGAAAAAUGAGACAUGGUCCCCAGGAAGCUGGCAGUCUUUGGGAGUGGCAGCACAUAGGCAUGGAAGAAGAACAUCAGGAGACCAUGUGUAAUUCAAUGGUAAAACGGUCAUGCAGCUUAGGACAUGGUUUCAGAGGUCAUCUGUCUUCUCCUGCCCAUGGAUGUUGGAGCUUCAGACUCCAGGACUUACACCAGUGCCCACUCCUCCUCAGCCUCCUGACUGAAUCACACCACCGACUUUCCUGUUUCUUCAGCUUGCAGAUGGCAUAUCGUGGGACUUCUCAGCCUCCACAAUCAUAACCAUGACAGACAAUUGCUGAACAUCAAACUAAGGAGUGAACACUUCAUCAGAUCUGCUUGCCUUAACAACAAAAAUAGCCAAAAUGUUAAGACAGUCAAACUAGAUUGAUUGUUUUUGAUACAAUCUGUGAGUGGUUGACCCAAGAAUUCUCAAUCUAAUCACGCCUAUAAAUACAGAGACUGUAUCCACAGAUGCAAAAGCAGCCAGAGGACAAGUGAGAAAUUCGUCAGUCACCUGGAUGCCUCAUCUCUACAAUGGCACUGAACAGCAUGUGAAGAGACACCCGCAAGGGUCUGUGAGUGGCUUCUGGGCGCUGGGUCUCACAGGAAGCAUCUACUUUAAAAGCUGGGAAUGCUGAUCCUUUCAGUUUCUAUCAAGAAGACAAAGUCUGGCUUAUAAUAGAAAAACAGAUUCCCCCAAAUCAUUGUCUAGAGGUGUUGAAUCACACAUGAAUGUCAGCAAAUGAUGCCAACUAUGGAUCACUUUCCUGGGGACUUUAUCUGGUGUGAACCAAGAGAAUCCUACUUCAUGCAUUUUUUUAAACAUCCACAGAUAACUGUUGUGCUGUGUCAUAGACCAAAAGGGAAAUUACAUUUUUCUCAUAAUUGGAUUUGGUACUUGUAGGCUUUCCUGAAGACAAGGAAAAGGAAAUUUAUUUUAGAUUCUUAAAAAACCUUGAACUAAAAAAUUUCAAUCAGCAUAUCAGGUGCCUAUCUGAAUUCAACCACCACUGUGGCAGAGAUGGAUGACUUCGUGUACCGGUACAGGAGAAAAGGGUUCCUGAAGCUUCAUUCUUGUUUGUUUGUUUGGUUGGGCUUUUUCUUUUCAUUCUGAGUUCUAAAAAAGUUAUUACUUGAUAGCUUGGUGGCAAUGCAGUCUGUGUUGAGAAAAUAGGAAUUGAUUAAGAAGUGAGAGACUGUGAGAGACUGAAAAUGAGUAAGAAAAAAAAAAAGCCUACAAAGCAUUUACAGUGUAAUUUUCCAAUACAGAUUUGAGUAGAUACUGCAUGCACUUAGAAACAGAUGCAUUGUCAAGCCUUUAUUAUUGAACAAAGAAUAAUUUUUGAGUUUCCCCUUUUUAAAAAGAACCCAAGAAAAUACAAUGCUAAAAUCUAUAUAUUAGCACAGCAUUCAUUUGAAUGCCUAAUUGCUUGAGACUUGCAAGAUUCAGUCUCAACUGGUGGAGGUCCUGACAUAGCUAGCAUAUGGCUGGAUGCUAAGGAAGAAUGGUUGCAAUGAUCAUUUGUGGAAACAAAACAUUAAUCUAUAAAUAUCAAUUUGCUGGGCUAAUUACCAAGGAUGUUAACUUGAUGUAUUGAUUAUUACAAAAUAAAUCUGUGGAUACAUUUAAAUGU